rnacentral:lncRNA from 1 species
UUCUCCUUCCUCUUCCCCUUCCUUUCCCUUCCUUUCCCUUCCUUAAAAGCAGGGUUUUGCAGUGUAGUCCAGGUUAGCUCUGAACUCUUCACCCCCCCACUCUAGUCUCCCAAGUGCUGGGAUUAUGGUUGAGGGUUAGCAUGCAUGCCAGGCCUUUUUUCUUCUAAGAUAGUGGCUUGAUGCUGCCCAGACACGACUCGAACUUACAGGCUCAGGGCAUACUCUGAUUUCAACUCCUGUAAGUGCACAACACCUGAGUGAUUCUGUUCUUCUCUUUCUUCUCUUCUUGCUUGAAGCUUCUGUCCUGGUGCUCUCAGACAACACAGAAUAUCCCCACAGCAGGCCCUUGCCCACAGCCAGGUCAGCUGGGAAGGGAACAUCACUUACAACUAGGGACCUCCAUUGAUACUCAAGUGCCAGCUGGAAACAGGGUGGGUGCUCAGUCCGCCACCUCUUCAGCUUCCCCUGGAGCUCAGGCCUGUGGGGGUCUUUAUCCUCCCUAGUUUUGGGGUCAGCUAGCUGGCUUAGCCACGGUCCCUUCCUGUGAUCCACUCACAGGGUUCCUUUCUGUGACAGCCAGCUAGUCCCAGACAAUCUGUACCUCCCUCCUUCUAGGGACUUAAUGCUUUACCAAUAAUCCCACUAGGCAUUUGGGAAAAGAACUUCUCAGGUAGCCGACGAAACUCCUGCAUGUUCCUCGACUCAACAAAUGCUGUUACUUCUCUUCCUGUACUUUCAGUUGAAUAAUUAAAAAAAAAAAAAAUCCCCCAAA